rnacentral:rRNA from 1 species
UACGAAGGGUGCCAGCGUUGUUCGGAAUUACUGGGCGUAAAGCGCGCGUAGGCGGCUUUGCAAGUCAGGGGUGAAAUCCCACGGCUCAACCGUGGAAUUGCCUUUGAAACUGCAAAGCUGGAGUAUCGGAGGGGAGUGCGGAAUUGCUAAUGUAGAGGUGAAAUUCGUAGAUAUUAGCAGGAACACCGGUGGCGAAGGCGGCACUCUGGACGAUAACUGACGCUGAGGCGCGAAAGCGCGGGGAUCAAACAGG